rnacentral:rRNA from 1 species
GACGAACGCUGGCGGCGUGCCUAAUACAUGCAAGUAGAACGCACAGUUUAUACCGUAGCUUGCUACACCAUAGACUGUGAGUUGCGAACGGGUGAGUAACGCGUAGGUAACCUGCCUGGCAGCGGGGGAUAACUAUUGGAAACGAUAGCUAAUACCGCAUAAUAUUAAUUAUUGCAUGAUAAUUAAUUGAAAGGUGCAAUUGCACCACUACCAGAUGGACCUGCGUUGUAUUAGCUAGUAGGUGAGGUAACGGCUCACCUAGGCGACGAUACAUAGCCGACCUGAGAGGGUGAUCGGCCACACUGGGACUGAGACACGGCCCAGACUCCUACGGGAGGCAGCAGUAGGGAAUCUUCGGCAAUGGACGAAAGUCUGACCGAGCAACGCCGCGUGAGUGAAGAAGGUUUUCGGAUCGUAAAGCUCUGUUGUAAGAGAAGAACGGGUGUGAGAGUGGAAAGUUCACACUGUGACGGUAUCUUACCAGAAAGGGACGGCUAACUACGCG